AAAUAAGAAACAAACUAAUUGUAAUCAGUUUCGACCUGAUAAUAUGAUAUUAAAAUAUCCUUAUUUU
rnacentral:tRNA from 1 species